ensembl:miRNA gga-mir-6654 gga-mir-6654
UCUCACCUCACCGCCUCCCUCUGCUGCUUUCCCUGUGCUCAGCGACGGAGCCGCAGCUGUGUGAGUGCUCAGCACUGGGGCUGAGCUGGCAGGGAGGGCAGCCCCCCAUC